UUUUUUUUUUUAGGGCCGCACUUGCGGCAUAUGUGAGUUCCCCGGCUAGGAGUUGAAUCGGAGCUGCAGCUGCCAGCCUGCACCACAGCCACAGCAACGUGGGAUCUGAGCUGUUUUUUUGCCUACACCGCAGCUCACGGCAACACCGGAUCCUCAACACACUGAGCGAGGCCAGGGAUCGAACCUGCAACCUCCUGGAUGCCACUCGAGUUUAUUAACCGCCGAGCCUCAACCAGAAUUCCGAGGGUUCCCUUUUUCCUACACCCUCUCCAGCAUUUAUUGUUUGUAGACUUUUUGAUGAAGGGCCAUCCCACGUGCCGGGACUCAGACCCAGGCUAAACCCAGGUUGGGACUUAAAUCCAUUUAAUUUAGAGUCACUCAACCUGUGUCUGGACUUAGGGAGCUUCGGGUUCUUCAUGUCUCCACGCAGAAGGAGUUCAGCAAGAGACAAAGUGACAGGCAAGAAAUAGGUUUAUUAAGGCAGGACACGUGCACCUCUCACAAGUGGGCAGGCACAGAAGCGCCGCCCCGAGGGCUACAGUUUUAUCUACAAGGGGAGUGGGGAUUGGAAAAGCCCACUUCUUCAUUUCUGGGAGUGGCAGCUCCUCCUUAGUGUCCGUAGGGUGUGUAUUCAAAUCAGCAGAAUGGUGGUCCUCAAACUCCUGCCCUGGGUCUGAAUCUGAACACAGGCCUGAUCCCAUCCCCACCCAGCGACCUGGGGCAGUUCUCAGGCCUCCACUAGUCAGGCAAGCCUGCCUUGUGCUGGUGGCUUUCUCCAGCAGUUGUGAACUUGCAGGGUCUCCCAGUGUCCCCGAAGUUUCCCUCUUUAACCGCGGUCCUUUAACGCGACUUCUGCAACUACCUGGGCCGACGCCAUCCCUGUCAAUAGUAGUUGUGAUUGGCAUUUCUCUACUAAUGAGUGACGCUGGACAUCUUUUCAUGUGUUUCUUGGCCAUCUGUAUGUCGUCUUUGGAGAACUGUCUGUUUAGAUGAUCUACCCCCCCCUCCUUUUUGACUUUUUAGUGCUACACCAGGAGGCCUGUGGAGGGUCCCAGGCUAGGGGUCUCAUUGGAGCUAUAGCUGCUGGCCUACACCACAACCACAGCAGUGCAAGGUCUGAGCUGAGUCUGCGACCUACACCACAGCUCAUGACAAUGCCAGAUCUUUCACCCACUGAGCGGGGCCAGGGAUCGAACCCACAACCUCAUGGUUCCUAGUUGGAUUUGUUUCUGCUUCACCACAACAGGAACCUACCCAUUUUUUGAUGGGGUGGUUUGUUUUUUUGGUAUUGAGCUGCAGGAGGUGUUUAUGUAUUUUGGAGAUUAAUUGCUUGUCAGUUGGUUCAUUUGCAGAUAUUUUCUCCCAUUCUGUGGGUUUUUGUUUUGUUUAGGGUUUCCUUUGCUGUGCAAAAACUUUUAAGUUUAAUUAGGCCCCAUUUGUUUAUUUUUGUUUUUAUUGUCAUUAUUCCAGGAGGUGGAUCUGAGAAGAUACUGCUGUGGUUUAUGUCAGAGUGUUCGGCCUAUGUUUUUCUCUAAGAGUUUUAUACUAUCUGGUCUUAUAUUUAUGUCGUUAAUCCAUUUUAAGUUUAUUUUUGUGUGUGGUGUUAGGGAAUGUUCUAAUACCAUUCUUUUCCAUGUAGCUGUCCACUUAUAGCCCAGCGCCACUUAUUGAAGGGUCUGUCUUUUCUUCAUUGUAUAUUCUUGCCUCUUUUGUCAUAGAUUACUUGACCAUAGGUUCGUGAGUUGGAUGUUGGGCAUUCUGUCCUAUUCCAGUAAUCCAUAUUUCUGUUUUUGUGCCGGUACCGUGUGGUUUUAAUGACUGUAGCUUUGUAGUAUAGUCUGAGGUCAGGGAGCCUGAUUCUCCAGCUCCAUUUUUCUUUCUCAGGAUGGCUUUGGCUAUUCUGGGUCUUUAGUACUUCCAAACAAACUUUAAAAUAUUUUGUUCUCCUUCUGUGAAAAAUGUCCUUGGUAAUUUGAUAGGGAUUGCAUUGAAUCUAUAGAUUGCCUUGGGUGGUAUAGUCAUUUUGAUAAUACUAACUCUUCCAAUCCAAGAGGAUGGUAUAUCUUUCCAUCUGUUUGUGUCAUCUUUGAUUUCUUUCAUCGACAUCUUACAGUUUUCAGAGUACACAUCCUUUGUCUUUUUUGGUAGGUUUAUUUCUAGGUAUUUUAUUCUUUUUGAUGUGAUGGUAAAUGGGAUUGUUUUCCUGAUUUCUCUUUCUGAUCUUUCACUGUUAGUAUAUAGAAAUGCAGUCAAUUUCUGUGUAUUAAUUUUGUAUCCUGCGACUUUGCCAAAUUCAUGGAUGAGCUCUAAUAGUUUACUCGUAGCUUCUCUAGGAUUUUCUAGAUAUAACAUCAUGUCGUCUGUAAACAAAAACCAGCUAUCAGCAGCAUGAGAGGAACUUUAAACACAUAGCUGAUUAAAUUGACUUUAGUCCAGAAAGGUUUCCUUGACCAUUUAUAGUUGCCAGAUGAUCACACUUCUUUUUCCUCCUUUUCUUGCCUUUUUUUUUCUUUUUCUUUUUCGGGCUGCACUUGCGACGUGGAAAUUCCCAGGCUAGGGGUUUAGCUGGAGCUGCAGCUGCUGGCCUUUGCCGUGGCAACGCGGGAUGCGAUCUGCAUCUGUUACCUACACCACAGCUCAUGGCAAUGCCAGAUCUUUAAGCCACUGAGUGAGACCAGGGCUCGGACCUGUGUCCUCAUGGAUACUAGUCGGGUUUGUUACCACUGAGCUACAGUGGGAACUCCCUACAUCUCUUUUCCUAUGGCUUAUUUUUUUCCCUACUACAGUAAUCACUGUGGAUUGUAUUGCAAGUUUAAUGAUGCUCAAAAUAUUACAUUUAUUAUCUGAGAAAAACAUUCUCCAGUAAAAUGAACUUUAAAUGUUUUUAAAAUAAUGUUCGGUGUGGAGGAAUGUAACUGUUGUUUUCCAUUUUCCGAGUAGUGUUCUCCAGCAAUGCAUUUGAACAGGGGAUUUAAGUAAACAGUCAGCGAAUUGAAGUGUCCCUGACGACCUUUUGAAAGUAGCAUCCAGAGUACUUACUGCUGUACUGGUAUUGAUCUGGGCUCAGGCUAUAGAUCUAGGACGGUGGACACUGAAACCAUUAGCCGUGUCAGCUUUGCAGAGCUCAUACAAGAUUUUUACCAGCUCGUAAAAUUGUUUUAUUACCCAGAAGGAAUGCCAGCAAUAAAAUGAAUGAACUCACGGCCAUCUGGACAUGUAGCUGAUUUUCAUGCCCAGAUGCGCUUGCAGUGAGGAAAGCUACGAUGUGGUUGGGACCAGAGCGUGUGGUGGUUGGGAGUCAGUCUGUUUGGGUUUCAGUUGGUCUGAGUAUUUGUGAGAGGAAACUCGUUUUCGGAAGUUUCUGGCUUGGUAUCCCACGUCAAGCCUCUCCGUCCUCUGCUUAGAUACAGAGCAGUGAAUGACCCUGUGUUUAAAAAUGUCAUCAUUCUUUUUUUGGAGUGGAUUCAAUUUUUCAUACAUUGAUUCUUUGUUUUCAUAACCAGUAAUAACAACAGUGAUAGAAGCUGUUGGAAGUUCCCUGGUAGCCUAGUGGAUUAAAGCUCCUGCAUUGUUGCUGCUGUGGGGCAGGUUGAUCCCUGGCCUGGGAACUUCUGCUUGCUGCACGCAGUAGAAUAUUGAACCCCUCGUUCCACUCACCCAGCUUCAACAGUUAUUAAGCCAUGGUCAGUGUUUGUUUGUUUUUUUUUGUCUUUUAGGGUCGUACCCACAGCAUAUGGAGAUUCCCAGGCUAGGGGUCGAAUUGGAGCUACAGCUGCUGGCCUACACCACAGCCACGGCUCAGGGGCUCGUUGCUUUCCCAAGACGCUGCUUGUUGCGGGGCCCAGAGACGGGGCCUCCAGGCGCCUGUGAGCUGGUCCAGUGGGGGUCAGAGGAGCCUCUGCGCUCUUCUUUUUUCGUUUGUGUUUAGUGCCGCACCCAAAGCGUAUGGAGGUUCCCAGGCUAGGGGUUGGAUCAGAGCCGAAGCCGCCGGCCUGUGCCACAGCCACGCCAGAUCUGAGCCUCGUCUGCAAGCUACACCACAGCUCACGGCAACACCAGAUCCCCAACCCACUGACCAGGGCCAGGGAUGGAACCCGAUUCGUCCUGGAUACCAGUCUGGUUCUUAACCUGCUGAGCCACGCGGGAACUCCUCUCUUCUCAAGCUGGGGUUUGCUCUCAUCACUGCAGGUUGUGAGUGAGGAAGUGACAGGGCAGGUGGAGGCGAGAAGUGGUGGAAGGUGUCGUGUCACCUCCUGUCCUUCGGUACAGACCCACCCUAUGCCUAAGCCCGCAGCACGCGGAGGUUCCCAGGCUCGGGGUUGAAUUGGAACUGCAGCUGCUGGCUUGCGCCACGGGAUCUGAGCCUCGACUGUGACCUCUACCACGACGCACCUGGGACCCUUAACCCACGGAGCGAGGCCAGGGGUCAAACCCGAGUCCUCAUGGUUACUAGUCAGAUUUGCUUCUGAGCCACGACGGGAACGCCGCAAGGCAGGUCUUGUAUGAAUGUAGUCGUUGUUUGCUGGAGACACAUCGGGGUUGACAUUAGUGAGGACUCUUUUAAAAAACGUGUUGCAGUGUGGUUGGUCUAUGAUGCCGGGCUGCUCUCUGCCCUAUGGCAGAGCGACCCGUUACACACACGCGUCCUUCUCCAGUUUGGUUUGUCACAGGGUAUUGAGCACAGGUCCUCUGCCCCACAGAGGGCCUCGACCUGCUGGCCAACCUGCCCUGUGUGUGGUGGUUUGCAUCCGCUAAGCCCAGACCCCAACCUCCCCGCCCUUCGCCCUUGGCACCCGCAGGUCUGCUCUGUGUGCGUAGCCGGGCUCUCGUGUGUUGUGUCUUAGAUCCCGUGUGUCAGUGGAGGACUUGCUUUCUAAAAUAUGACCUUAAGCUUUUGGCUUUUUUCGUCCAGCUGCGGAAAGUGUGUGUCUGCCGGUGAUGCUGUGCUGUCCGGGGGCCCAGGCAGAGCCUGUGCUUUUGAUCCGUUAGGGGAGCCAGGGGCUUCCUGCAGGGAGCCUUCAGGGGAGGAGCUAAGUAGGGGUGUGUGCGCACAUUUAGUUCACUCGGAAUCACUAGACUUUCUGGAAAAGUGUGGUUUUUUUGUAAUCAGAUGACACUUGUCAUAUAAAUCUUUUUUAUCCAAG
ensembl:lncRNA